UACGUAGGUGGCAAGCGUUGUCCGGAUUUAUUGGGUUUAAAGGGUGCGUAGGCGGCUUUGUAAGUCAGUGGUGAAAUAUGGCAGCUCAACUGUCAGGGUGCCAUUAAUACUGCAGAGCUUGAGUACAGAUGAGGUAGGCGGAAUUGACGGUGUAGCGGUGAAAUGCUUAGAUAUCGUCAAGAACACCGAUAGCGAAGGCAGCUUACUGGGCUGUAACUGACGCUGAGGCACGAAAGUGUGGGGAUCAAACAGG
rnacentral:rRNA from 1 species